rnacentral:rRNA from 1 species
GGGCAGGGUGAGUCGACCCCUAAGGCGAGGCCGAAAGGCGUAGUCGAUGGGAAACAGGUUAAUAUUCCUGUACUUGGUGUUACUGCGAAGGGGGGACGGAGAAGGCUAUGUUAGCCGGGCGACGGUUGUCCCGGUUUAAGCAUGUAGGCGGAGGUUCCAGGUAAAUCCGGUACCUUUUUAACGCUGAGGUGUGAUGACGAGGCACUACGGUGCUGAAGUAACAAAUGCCCUGCUUCCAGGAAAAGCCUCUAAGCAUCAGGUAACAUUGAAUCGUACCCCAAACCGACACAGGUGGUCAGGUAGAGAAUACCAAGGCGCUUGAGAGAACUCGGGUGAAGGAACUAGGCAAAAUGGUGCCGUAACUUCGGGAGAAGGCACGCUGAUAUGUAGGUGAAGCCCCUGCGGGUGGAGCUGAAAUCAGUCGAAGAUACCAGCUGGCUGCAACUGUUUAUUAAAAACACAGCACUGUGCAAACACGAAAGUGGACGUAUACGGUGUGACGCCUGCCCGGUGCCGGAAGGUUAAUUGAUGGGGUUAUCCGUAAGGAGAAGCUCUUGAUCGAAGCCCCGGUAAACGGCGGCCGUAACUAUAACGGUCCUAAGGUAGCGAAAUUCCUUGUCGGGUAAGUUCCGACCUGCACGAAUGGCGUAAUGAUGGCCAGGCUGUCUCCACCCGAGACUCAGUGAAAUUGAACUCGCUGUGAAGAUGCAGUGUACCCGCGGCAAGACGGAAAGACCCCGUGAACCUUUACUAUAGCUUGACACUGAACAUUGAGCCUUGAUGUGUAGGAUAGGUGGGAGGCUUUGAAGCGUGGACGCCAGUCUGCGUGGAGCCAACCUUGAAAUACCACCCUUUAAUGUUUGAUGUUCUAACGUUGGCCCCUUAUCGGGGUUGCGGACAGUGUCUGGUGGGUAGUUUGACUGGGGCGGUCUCCUCCCAAAGAGUAACGGAGGAGCACGAAGGUUAGCUAAUCCUGGUCGGACAUCAGGAGGUUAGUGCAAUGGCAUAAGCUAGCUUGACUGCGAGCGUGACGGCGCGAGCAGGUGCGAAAGCAGGUCAUAGUGAUCCGGUGGUUCUGAAUGGAAGGGCCAUCGCUCAACGGAUAAAAGGUACUCCGGGGAUAACAGGCUGAUACCGCCCAAGAGUUCAUAUCGACGGCGGUGUUUGGCACCUCGAUGUCGGCUCAUCACAUCCUGGGGCUGAAGUAGGUCCCAAGGGUAUGGCUGUUCGCCAUUUAAAGUGGUACGCGAGCUGGGUUUAGAACGUCGUGAGACAGUUCGGUCCCUAUCUGCCGUGGGCGCUGGAGAAUUGAGGGGGGGCUGCUCCUAGUACGAGAGGACCGGAGUGGACGCAUCACUGGUGUUCGGGUUGUCAUGCCAAUGGCAUUGCCCGGUAGCUAAAUGCGGAAGAGAUAAGUGCUGAAAGCAUCUAAGCACGAAACUUGCCCCGAGAUGAGUUCUCCCUGACUCCUUGAGAGUCCUGAAGGAACGUUAAAGACGAUGACGUUGAUAGGUCGGGUGUGUAAGCGUAGCGAUACGUUGAGCUAACCGAUACUAAUGAACCGUGAGGCUUAACCUU